rnacentral:lncRNA from 1 species
GGUGGCCCCGAGGAGACAAGCGUGGCCGCAUUAGCUCUUUCUGCCUCCCACGCAGCCUUAUUUUUUUUAUUGUUGUUUUCUUGUUGCUGUUGUUGUUGUUCUCGGAGACGGAGUCUUGCUCUUGCUCUGUCGUCGCCCACGAUAGAGUACAGUGGCGUGAUCUCUGCUCACUGCAACCUCCGCCUCCUGGGUUCAAACAAUUCUGCCUCAGCCUCCGGAGUAGCUGGGAUUACAGGCGCGCGCCACUAUGCCCGGCUAAUUUUUGUGUUUUUAGUAAAGACGGGGUUUCACCAUGUCGGCCAGGCUGUUCUCGAACUCCUGACCUCGUGAUCCCUCCGUCUCGGCUUCCCAAAGUGCUGGGAUUACGGGCGUGAGCCACCGUGCCCGGCCGCAGCCUUGUUUUGACUGAGUCAGUGGGAGCCAUUACUGUUCCUAAAUGUAAACUGGCGUGACAGGAGUUCCGGGAUUGUCCACAGCACGGUGAUGUGGAAGCCCUGGGGAGAGAAUGAUAAAGAAAGGGGAUGAGGAACAGCUCCACCCGGAAGAGCGGGCUUCCCUAGCAAAUGAAUCUGGAAGGGCGCAGGGGAGGGGGCACGGCGAGUUCAGAUGGACCGAGGCUGGAAGCUGACGCGGUUGGAGGGGGAUGGGUGUAGCUGUUGGCAGUGGCGCUGGGGUGGAAGUGUGUGGGGUCACAGAUGUGUAAGGGUGGGCGCGGAGCAGACCCCCGAAGGUCCCUGAGGUCAGGCUGAGGCAUUGGACCAAAUCCGUACAUAGGCAUUUCUCUGAACUGCGCGCCACCUUUUGAGUGCCAUCUGUUUCCGUCCAGGACUCUGAUACAACUAUCCAGUCCGCUGCAGGGACCGGUCACUGUGUCACAGGUUCUCCAGAGGGCCAGAACUAACAGGAUAUAUGUAUAUAUUGAAAGGGAGUAUAUUAGGGAGAACUGGCUGACAGGAUCAUCAGGCAAAGUCCCACUAUAGUCCAUCUGCAAGCUGAGGAAGGAAGAAGCCAGUCACGUCUC